rnacentral:rRNA from 1 species
CCUGCCCAGUGACCUGAGUGUUCAACGGCCGCGGUAUUCUGACCGUGCGAAGGUAGCGCAAUCACUUGUCUUUUAAAUGGGGACCUGUAUGAAUGGCCUAACGAGGGCUUGACUGUCUCCUUUUUCCAGUCAAUGAAAUUGAUCUCCCCGUGCAGAAGCGGAGAUAAGCACAUAAGACGAGAAGACCCCGUGGAGCUUUAGACGAAGGGCAGCCCAUGUCUAUAGACCCUAGAUACAGGACCGAGCUAAUUGGCCCCUGCCCUCAUGUCUUAGGUUGGGGCGACCAUGGAGAAUAACAAAACCUCCACGCAGAGAGAGUACUAGACUCCCAGAACCAAGAGCUCCUGCUCUAAUGACCAGAACUUCUGACUAAAGGAUCCGGCAAUAGCCGAUUAACGAAACAAGUUACCCCAGGGAUAACAGCGCAAUCCUCUUCUAGAGCUCCUAUCGACAAGGGGGUUUACGACCUCGAUGUUGGAUCAGGGCAUCCUAAUGGCGCAGCCGCUAUUAAUGGUUCGUUUGUUCAACGAUUAAAGCCCUACGUGAUCU